rnacentral:rRNA from 1 species
UACGUAGGGGGCAAGCGUUAUCCGGAUUUACUGGGUGUAAAGGGAGCGUAGACGGAUGGACAAGUCUGAUGUGAAAGGCUGGGGCUCAACCCCGGGAUUGCAUUGGAAACUGCCCGUCUUGAGUGCCGGAGAGGUAAGCGGAAUUCCUAGUGUAGCGGUGAAAUGCGUAGAUAUUAGGAGGAACACCAGUGGCGAAGGCGGCUUACUGGACGGUAACUGACGUUGAGGCUCGAAAGCGUGGGGAGCAAACAGG